rnacentral:lncRNA from 1 species
GAAUUAAUAGCCCCAUGGGGCAGCCCUUGCCUGGUGCUAGACGACAGACAACGGCUCCUUCUGUCUUUGGCCAGGAUGAUUUGAGGACUAGCUUGUCACUGGAGCCCUGUGCCUGAAGAGGGCAUGUGGAAGGGCUGAAAAUGCCUUUCCCAUCAUUUGUCUCCAGGGAACUUUGCUCUUAAAGGAAGACUAAAGACCAUGGAAACUUCUCUUUGACUUAACAAGGAUUUUCAGCAUCUCUGAUUUGCACACAGCCUGCAUUUGGUGUUGCUGGAGUGGGACAGAAAGAGCACAAAUGAAACCCCAGGUUCUGCCUUCAAGGCACUGCCAAGCUAGAAGAAGAGGUUAAUCUGCUCUGAGGCACUCUGGAGAUUUUUCAGUCCUGAAGAAUUUUUCUUUCAUCUGACAACUGAUCAACCUUGGGAUUCCAAAGAUGUCAGGACUUGAGCCUGAGAAGAUGUAGCACAGGGUCUCAGGGCUGGACUUCAGUAGAUACAGAUCUGCCCCAAACAGCGAUCUGUUCAUAGACAUCUACAAGCUAAAAGUCAGUCACCUCCAUGGACUGUCCAGCCCCAUCUUUGCUGUCCAGAUCUUCGGGGCUGCUAUGACUCUGAAAUGAGGCCGUGAUGCGAUCUGCAUAGGUUAAGAGGGUCCAGCUCUCUGGCUACGGUGACUUGAGUGUUAUGAUGUGGAUCUGGAGUGCUCCCCAUGUCACUUGUGCUAAAGGGUUGGUUGCCAGACUGCGGCAUUAUUGGGAGAUGGUGGGAAUACAGGACAGAGCAUCUAACUGGGAGGAAGUUAAAUUACAGGCGGUAAGCACUUGAAGUAAUAUUGGAACUCCAUCCCUUCUCUCUCUUUCCUCCUGGAUGCCAUGAGGUAAGCAGCUUUGUUCUACCAUCUCCCACCUAUCAGGGUGUCCUGCCUCAACACCAGCCCCAAAGCAAUGGAGCCAACUGGCCAUACAUGGAAAUCUCUGAACACAUGAGCCCAAGCAAAUAGUUCUUUUUUAUUUUGUUAAUCUCAAACAUUUUGCCAUGGUGAUUAAAAGCUGACUAGUGCAAUAAUCCUUGCUGAUUAUGUCAUUAAGGGGGGAAGUCACUUGAAUAACCCUCAAUGGUCACUAUCCAUACUGGGUCCAGUGUAAGGCUCAAUGUGUCUCCAGGGAAAAUUUCUGUGAGAUGUGAAAUAAACACUCAAGAUCCUCUUCUCAGUCUCCAGUCCUCUUUGGUGAGUGGCUUUGUACUACU